rnacentral:ncRNA from 1 species
AUGUUGGCUUUGAUCAGGAAUAGUAGUUCUACCGCUUAUUUUAAGAGAGCAGACGGCAGGUGCAAGUCUGUAGUAACGUAGAUCGAACUCGCCUAGGAGUCUGUAUUAGUGAAGAGAUGUAACUGAUACCGUGAUCCGCGUUAAGGAAUCAAGUUGGACGGAGAAAUCCGUUAAUUUGGGUGGUACCGCGGGAAGCUAUAUAGGCUCUCGUCCCUGUG